AAUAUUUGACAAUGGGGGCAACCCUGAUCCAGCCAUGCCGCGUGUGUGAAGAAGGUCUUCGGAUUGUAAAGCACUUUAAGUUGGGAGGAAGGGCUUUAGGCUAAUACCCUGCAGUCUUGACGUUACCAACAGAAUAAGCACAGGCUAACUCUGUGCCUGCAGCCGCGGUAAUACGUAGGGUGCAAGCUUUAAUCGGAAUUACUGGGCGUAAAGCGCGCGUAGGUGGUUCAGUAAGAUUGGUGUGAAAUCCCCGGGCUUAACCUGGGAACUGCUUUCAUAACUGCUGAGCUAGAGUACGGUAGAGGGUAGUGGAAUUUCCUGUGUAGCGGUGAAAUGCGUAGAUAUAGGAAGGAACACCAGUGGCGAAGGCGACUACCUGGACUGAUACUGACACUGAGGUGCGAAAGCGUGGGGAGCAAAC
rnacentral:rRNA from 1 species